UACGGGGGGAGCAAGCGUUGUUCGGAUUUACUGGGCGUAAAGGGCGCGUAGGCGGCCAGCGCAAGUCAGUUGUGAAAUCUCCGGGCUUAACUCGGAACGGUCAACUGAUACUGCGCGGCUAGAGUGCAGAAGGGGCAACUGGAAUUCUCGGUGUAGCGGUGAAAUGCGUAGAUAUCGGGAGGAACACCAGUGGCGAAGGCGACUUCCUGGCCUGUUCUUGACGCUGAGGCGCGAAAGCUAGGGGAGCAAACGGG
rnacentral:rRNA from 1 species